UACGUAGGGGGCGAGCGUUGUCCGGAAUCAUUGGGCGUAAAGCGCGUGUAGGCGGUUCGGUAAGUCCGCUGUGAAAGUCGGGGGCUCAACCCUCGGAUGCCGGUGGAUACUGUCGAGCUUGAGUACGGAAGAGGCGAGUGGAAUUCCUGGUGUAGCGGUGAAAUGCGCAGAUAUCAGGAGGAACACCAAUUGCGAAGGCAGCUCGCUGGGACGUUACUGACGCUGAGACGCGAAAGCGUGGGGAGCAAACAGG
rnacentral:rRNA from 1 species